CCUACGGGUGGCAGCAGUGAGGAAUAUUGGUCAAUGGGCGCAAGCCUGAACCAGCCAAGUCGCGUGAGGGAUGACUGCCCUACGGGUUGUAAACUUCUUUUAUACGGGAAUAAAGUGAGGCACGUGUUCCUUUUUGUAUGUACUUUAUGAAUAAGGAUCGGCUAACUCCGUGCCAGCAGCCGCGGUAAUACGGAGGAUCCGAGCGUUAUCCGGAUUUAUUGGGUUUAAAGGGUGCGUAGGUGGUUUGUUAAGUCAGUUGUGAAAGUUUGAGGCUCAACCUUAAAAUUGCACUUGAUACUGGGAGGCUUGAGUAUAGUUGAGGUAGGCGGAAUGCGUGGUGUAGCGGUGAAAUGCUUAGAUAUCACGCAGAACCCCGAUUGCGAAGGCAGCUUACCAAGC
rnacentral:rRNA from 1 species